rnacentral:rRNA from 1 species
GACGAACGCUGGCAGCGUGCCUAAUACAUGCAAGUAGAACGCUGAAGGAGGAGCUUGCUCUUCUGGAUGAGUUGCGAACGGGUGAGUAACGCGUAGGUAACCUGCCUGGUAGCGGGGGAUAACUAUUGGAAACGAUAGCUAAUACCGCAUAAGAGUAGAUGUUGCAUGACAUUUACUUAAAAGGUGCAAUUGCAUCACUACCAGAUGGACCUGCGUUGUAUUAGCUAGUUGGUGGGGUAACGGCUUACCAAGGCGACGAUACAUAGCCGACCUGAGAGGGUGAUCGGCCACACUGGGACUGAGACACGGCCCAGACUCCUACGGGAGGCAGCAGUAGGGAAUCUUCGGCAAUGGACGGAAGUCUGACCGAGCAACGCCGCGUGAGUGAAGAAGGUUUUCGGAUCGUAAAGCUCUGUUGUAAGAGAAGAACGAGUGUGAGAGUGGAAAGUUCACACUGUGACGGUAUCUUACCAGAAAGGGACGGCUAACUACGUG